AAAGAGCUNGUAGGCGNUUUGUNGCNUNNGCUGUGAAAUCCCGAGGCUCAACCUNGGNNNUGCAGUGGGUACGGGCAGACUAGAGUGCGGUAGGGGAGAUUGGAAUUCCUGGUGUAGCGGUGGAAUGCGCAGAUAUCAGGAGGAACACCGAUGGCGAAGGCAGAUCUCUGGGCCGUUACUGACGCUGAGGAGCGAAAGGGUGGGGAGCAAACAGGCUUAGAUACCCUGGUAGUCCACCCCGUAAACGUUGGGAACUAGUUGUGGGGUCCAUUCCACGGAUUCCGUGACGCAGCUAACGCAUUAAGUUCCCCGCCUGGGGAGUACGGCCGCAAGGCUAAAACUCAAAGGAAUUGACGGGGACCCGCACAAGCGGCGGAGCAUGCGGAUUAAUUCGAUGCAACGCGAAGAACCUUACCAAGGCUUGACAUAUACGAGAACGGGCCAGAAAUGGUCAACUCUUUGGACACUCGUAAACAGGUGGUGCAUGGUUGUCGUCAGCUCGUGUCGUGAGAUGUUGGGUUAAGUCCCGCAACGAGCGCAACCCUCGUUCUAUGUUGCCAGCACGUAAUGGUGGGAACUCAUGGGAUACUGCCGGGGUCAACUCGGAGGAAGGUGGGGAUGACGUCAAAUCAUCAUGCCCCUUAUGUCUUGGGCUUCACGCAUGCUACAAUGGCCGGUACAAAGGGCUGCAAUACCGCGAGGUGGAGCGAAUCCCAAAAAGCCGGUCCCAGUUCGGAUUGAGGUCUGCAACUCGACCUCAUGAAGUCGGAGUCGCUAGUAAUCGCAGAUCA
rnacentral:rRNA from 1 species